rnacentral:rRNA from 1 species
AGAGUUUGAUCCUGGCUCAGGACGAACGCUGGCGGCGUGCUUAACACAUGCAAGUCGAACGAGACGAUUGAAAGCUUGCUUUUGAAAGUCGAGUGGCAAACGGGUGAGUAACGCGUAGACAACCUGCCGUAAAGAUGGGGACAACAGUCCGAAAGGACUGCUAAUACCGAAUGUUGUGCAUUCUCCGCAUGGAAGAUGCAUCAAAGAUGGCCUCUACUUGUAAGCUAUCGCUUUGCGAUGGGUCUGCGUCUGAUUAGCUAGUUGGUGGGGUAACGGCUUACCAAGGCGACGAUCAGUAGCCGGUCUGAGAGGAUGAACGGCCACAUUGGAACUGAGACACGGUCCAGACUCCUACGGGAGGCAGCAGUGGGGAAUCUUCCGCAAUGGGCGCAAGCCUGACGGAGCAACGCCGCGUGAGUGAAGAAGGGUUUCGACUCCGUAAGCUCUGUUGUCGGGGACGAANNGNGNANGUUGUGAAUAACAGCUUNCAAUGACCGGNACCUGACGAGGAA